rnacentral:rRNA from 1 species
UACGAAGGGGGCUAGCGUUGUUCGGAAUCACUGGGCGUAAAGCGCACGCAGGCGGAUUGAUAAGUCAGGGGUGAAAUCCCGGAGCUCAACUUCGGAAUUGCCUUUGAUACUGUCUGUCUUCGAGUUCGGGAGAGGUUGGCGGAAUUCCUAGUGUAGAGGUGAAAUUCGUAGAUAUUAGGAAGAACACCAGUGGCGAAGGCGGCCAACUGCCCGAU